CCUCGCCUUUAGUUACCAUCAUUCAGUUGGGGACUCUAAAGGAACCGCCGGUGAUAAGCCGGAGGAAGGUGGGGAUGACGUCAAGUCCUCAUGGCCCUUACGCGCUGGGCUACACACGUGCUACAAUGGCGGUGACAGUGGGCAGCAAUCCCGCAAGGGUGAGCUAAUCUCCAAAAGCCGUCUCAGUUCGGAUUGUUCUCUGCAACUCGAGAGCAUGAAGGCGGAAUCGCUAGUAAUCGCGGAUCAGCAUGCCGCGGUGAAUACGUUCCCAGGCCUUGUACACACCGCCCGU
rnacentral:rRNA from 1 species